rnacentral:misc_RNA from 1 species
GUGAUUAAGAAUGGUUGUCUUCUGUGCUGGCUCCGCAAGUGCACGGAGGCGACUUUCAUCCAACACCCUUGUGAACCUUUGGCCUCUUGCUGGCUUCGGCUGGCUGAGGAUUUACACAAAUUCGCAUGUAUUGAGGACCCAUUAUGUGCGCAAGCACUACUAUA